GACGAACGCUGGCGGCGUGCUUAACACAUGCAAGUCGAACGGAAAGGCCCUGCUUUUGUGGGGUGCUCGAGUGGCGAACGGGUGAGUAACACGUGAGUAACCUGCCCUUGACUUUGGGAUAACUUCAGGAAACUGGGGCUAAUACCGGAUAGGAGCUCCUGCUGCAUGGUGGGGGUUGGAAAGUUUCGGCGGUUGGGGAUGGACUCGCGGCUUAUCAGCUUGUUGGUGGGGUAGUGGCUUACCAAGGCUUUGACGGGUAGCCUGGCUGGGAGGGUGACCGGCCACAUUGGGACUGAGAUGCGGCCCAGACUCCUACGGGAGGCAGCAGUGGGGAAUAUUGCACAAUGGGCGGAAGCCUGAUGCAGCAACGCCGCGUGCGGGAUGACGGCCUUCGGGUUGUAAACCGCUUUCGCCUGUGACGAAGCGUGAGUGACGGUAAUGGGUAAAGAAGCACCGGCUAACUACGCG
rnacentral:rRNA from 1 species